rnacentral:rRNA from 1 species
AUUGAAAGCUGGCGGCAGGCCUAACACAUGCAAGUCUAACGAGUGGCGGACGGGUGAGUAAUGUCUGGGAAACUGCAUGAUGGAGUGGUAUAACUACUGGAAACGGUAGCUAAUACCGCAUACCAUCAGAUGUGCCCAGAUGGGAUUAGCUUGUUGGUGGGGUAACGGCUCACCAAGGAGACGAUCCCUAGCGAGUCUGAGAGGAUGACCAUCCACACUGGCACUGAGACACGGUCCAGACUCCUACGGGCGGCAGCAGUGGGGAAUAUUGCACAAUGGGCGCAAGCCUGAUGCAGCCAUGCCGCGUGUAUGAAGCAGGCCUUCGGGUUGUAAAGUACUUUCAGCGGGGAGGCGUUACCCGCAGAAGAAGCACCGGCUAACUCCGUGCCAGCAGCCGCGGUAAUUC